ACGGAGGGUGCGAGCGUUGUUCGGAAUCACUGGGCGUAAAGGGAGCGCAGGCGGCUUGAUUAGUCAGAUGUGAAAGCCCACGGCUUAACCGUGGAAGUGCAUUUGAAACUGUCAGGCUUGAGUAUCAGAGGGGAAGGUGGAAUUCCCGGUGUAGAGGUGAAAUUCGUAGAUAUCGGGAGGAAUACCGGUGGCGAAGGCGACUUUCUGGCUGAAUACUGACGCUGAGGCUCGAAAGCGUGGGGAGCAAACAGG
rnacentral:rRNA from 1 species